rnacentral:tRNA from 1 species
GCCGGGGUGGCGGAAUUGGCAGACGCAAGGGACUUAAAAUCCCUCGGCUGGCGACAGCCAUGCCGGUUCGAGUCCGGCCCCCGGCA